CUUUUUGAUGGAUGUUCUAUUCCCAGAGGUAAUGUUAUCCCCAGCUGCUCCACACUUUCAAAAUAGAUACAAAAAUAUAGAUUUAUUUGUAUUUGUAGAUUGAAAUAUUUUAGAAAAUAUUCACACAAUGUACAAAUCCUUUUCUCUUAAUAGGCUAUUAUUUAUGGUCUCGCCGUGACCCACAAGGUCUCAGUGGCACAUGCCGAAAACUUAUUGAUUGUUGGACAAACGUUACACACAAGUGAAAGAGACCAAUUUGAGCAGAGGAUCGAAAAGGAGUUGCGACAACAAGGGAAGUGAAUGAGUGAGCAAUAAAGUGCUUUUUCAAAAAUA